rnacentral:rRNA from 1 species
CGAGCAUGUGAAUGUGAGCGAAUCCCAAAAAUAACGUCUCAGUUCGGAUUGUAGUCUGCAACUCGACUACAUGAAGCUGGAAUCGCUAGUAAUCGCGAAUCAGAAUGUCGCGGUGAAUACGUUCCCGGGUCUUGUACACACCGCCCGUCACACCAUGGGAGUCAGUAACGCCCGAAGCCGGUGACCCAACCAACUGGAGGGAGCCGUCGAAGGUGGGACCGAUAACUGGGGUGAAGUCGUAACAAGGUAUC